rnacentral:rRNA from 1 species
AGGAAAGCAGGGGAUCGCAAGACCUUGCGCUCUUGGAGCGGCCGAUGUCUGAUUAGCUAGUUGGUGAGGUAAAGGCUUACCAAGGCGACGAUCAGUAGCUGGUCUGAGAGGACGACCAGCCACACUGGGACUGAGACACGGCCCAGACUCCUACGGGAGGCAGCAGUGGGGAAUUUUGGACAAUGGGGGAAACCCUGAUCCAGCCAUGCCGCGUGAGUGAAGAAGGCCUUCGGGUUGUAAAGCUCUUUCAGCCGGAACGAAACGGUCACGGCUAAUACCUGUGAUCACUGACGGUACCGGAAGAAGAAGCACCGGCUAACUACGUGCCAGCAGCCGCGGUAAUACGUAGGGUGCAAGCGUUAAUCGGAAUUACUGGGCGUAAAGCGUGCGCAGGCGGUUUUGUAAGUCAGAUGUGAAAUCCCCGAGCUUAACCUGGGAACUGCGUUUGAAACUACAAAGCU